UGGUAGGGUGCUUUUUCUGGAAGACAGUGUAUUUGAUGAAGUCAAAGGGAGUCUCAAGGGGAAGACUAUGAAGAAAGAGACAGAAGUGUUUUACUGCUGCAAACUUUUCUGUGAUAACUGCUGUUUUCAAAUGCCUGAAUUCUGCCAGCUGACCCAAUGGCUGCUGAAGUGAGAAAGGACAGUCCAGGGUGCUGGAUCCUUUGGUCCUUACGGAUUUCAUGGGACGGUGCAGGAAAUAAUAGAACUCUGAAAUAGAAGAGAAGGAAAAGAAAGAGGAGAAGGAAGACAGGACAAAAAAAAGCACUAAUACCAUAUGAGAAUUUAAAGCCUAGUUGUUCUUCAUACUUUUCACCCAAGAGCAACAGAAGUGGAAAAAUAAGAGCAGGAGUUGGGUCUAAAACACUUUAUUUUUUAGGAAGAGAAUGGAGAAAUGUUAAUACGUACAAAUUUCUGGUAUUUCUUUACUUUUUUAUUUUUAUUAUUUUUGCAGAACAUGCUAUAAAACUCCUUAAGAAUCACAGAAUCACAGUUAUUUUUGGUUCGGCUUCAGCUGGUGCAGUUACAUGUUUGUUUGAAGUCUAUAGCUUCUGAUAGACAAAAUGGCCAAACAUUCAGGAUCUUAAGCUUUCCUUCCUGACCUCCAGAGCAUCGUGUGUAGGCACUACUAUUAUGAUUCUUGCUAGAUGUUAUUGAGCCACAGAUUUCAGGUCUCUACUCAGUUUACUUUUACAACAUAAAAGUGGAUAAAUCUUCACUUGAGUUUUUCUUAAGUUCUCCGAUAGGAGUAGGAACAGGCUGAGCCUGAUGAUAGCUGCUGUGUUGUAAACACCUACAUGUAACACUUAUGAAAUACAGGUCCUUGUGUACUCCAUAGCAAAGCCUGUGGGUUGUUUCAGGCAGUAAACCUGUCCAAUCAAGUCUAGGUGAACCAAAGUUAUUCUGAAAUACAGCUUUAGGCUGUUUAGUAAAUUGCAAACAUUCAGUGAAAGCUGCCUCUUUCCUUGGACAGAAUCCCUUUAUUAAUUUUACUAUGGGAAAAGCAUGGUGUAGACUUUUAAUGAGACAUACAAAACAGUUACUGUUUUUCACAAAGUCAGCUGUGUAGUGUGUAUCACUCUUUUCCUGAUUUUUUCCUCUGUGUAAUGUUUGAUAAGUGCAGUAAAUCCAAGAAGUGUUGCCUGUUUCAGUUGUGUGUGUUUUGUUGUUGACUGGAAUAUUAAUGAAAAUAUACCUGAUGGCUUGGGCAACAGGGACACUGUGUAAAUCAGAUUUAUAUAUCAAAUAGCACAGUGAAGGUCCAUUCACAUCCACCAAAGUAAUGAUUAUGAGUGUGCUGUUGGCAGUUUGAUGGUAGCAGCAACAAUUCCUGCUUCUGUCAGCUGGAAAAAAAGAAGUGUACAGGCUUGCCAUGCCUUGAAAAAUCUGACUUCUGAGAGGAGCAGGUAAAUUGAGCAACACUUCCUUUUGAUCAUUUAUUGUCUGUUCUCUCUUUAUCUGUAGUGUGCUGAGGCACAGAGUCAGCAGAAUACAGGGGGAGACUAAGGAAAAGUAAUGAGCAGCUGUAGCCUGUGGAAACUCAGUCCCCAUGCACAUUAAACUUUCUCUCUUGUCAGUGAUCCAUUAUUCAAGCUUGUCACAAGCUGGAAAUAUCAUUUUCAAAGACAAAACAACCCCGAAAGCAACAUAAGCAAGCAAACAACCCAACAAGUUAUAGUUGUACCCUGAUGAACACAUUUCAGUCCUCGGUGCUCAAAAAACAUCACUUCUCCCCCCCUUGACAGAAUGACUGGACCCAUGACCAAGGAAAAAGUGAUCUGUACAACCUUUCUUUUAAAUUUUUUAGUUCUCGCUGUGUUGGAGUUGACUGUUCCUGAGGGAGGUAAGAGGAGAUUUUUCACCGCUGGGAAGGCAGGCUCGUCUGCACAGAAAAGGGAGCGAGGUGGUUUUAGGGACAGUAAACCACCAUGGAAGAAGCAGCUAAAGAAGCCAGUGAAGGUGGAGGAGGACUGCUUGGAGUCAGCAGCAUACCUGUGGUACAUACAGCAUACCUGUAGGUCCGCUGUUAGGCUGGAGUAUAAAGCUUUCCCUCUGCUCUGCGGGGAAGGAGCGAAUGUUAUUCUCACAGGAAAGCUAGUUGAAAUAGUUGGGUCCUGUGUGUGAUUCCACAGUAUGCCACACAGUGCAGUACUGAGGGCACAAUUCUAGACCCUGUUUUUCCAGGGUGUUUCUGGGCUAUCCCGCUGCUUGGUUAAAAUGUUCUCGUUGAACAGCAUGAGAUCUGUUUUUC
rnacentral:lncRNA from 7 species